GCCAAGGAGAGUUUGAUCCUGGCUCAGGAUGAACGCUGGCGGCGUGCAUAACACAUGCAAGUCGGACGGGGCCGGCCGGAACGGCCCGCGCGGGCGACCGCGCGG
rnacentral:rRNA from 1 species